GUGCCAGCAGCCGCGGUAAUACCAGCCCCGCGAGUGGUUGGGACGUUUACUAGGCCUAAAGCGCCUGUAGCCGGCCCUGUAAGUCCCUCCCUAAAGGCCCGGGCUCAACCCGGGAACCGGGAGGGAUACUGCAGGGCUAGGGGGCGGGAGAGGCGGGGGGUACUCCCGGAGUAGGGGCGAAAUCCGUAGAUCCCGGGAGGACCACCAGUGGCGAAGGCGCCCCGCUAGAACGCGCCCGACGGUGAGAGGCGAAAGCCGGGGCAGCAAAAGGGAUUAGAUACCCCUGUAGUCCCGGCUGUAAACGAUGCCGGCUAGGUGUCGCGUGGGCUUAGAGCCCACGCGGUGCCGCAGGGAAGCCGUUAAGCCGGCCGCCUGGGGAGUACGGCCGCAAGGCUGAAACUUAAAGGAAUAGGCGGGGGAGCACCACAAGGGGUGGAACCUGCGGCUCAAUUGGAGUCAACACCUGGAAGCUUACCGGGGGAGACCGCAGGAUGACGGCCAGGCUAACGACCUUGCCUGACUCGCGGAGAGGAGGUGCAUGGCCGUCGCCAGCUCGUGUUGCGAAAUGUCCGGUUAAGUCCGGCAACGAGCGAGACCCCCACCCCUAGUUGGUAUCCCGGUUUCCGAACCGGGACCACACUAGGGGGACUGCCGGCGUAAGCCGGAGGAAGGAGGGGGCCACGGCAGGUCAGUAUGCCCCGAAACCCCGGGGCUGCACGCGAGCUGCAAUGGCGGGGACAGCGGGAUCCGACCCCGAAAGGGGGAGGUAAUCCCGUAAACCCCGCCCCAGUAGGGAUCGAGGGCUGUAACUCGCCCUCGUGAACGUGGAAUCCCUAGUAACCGCGUGUCACCAACGCGCGGUGAAUACGUCCCUGCCCCUUGCACACACCGCCCGUC
rnacentral:rRNA from 1 species